rnacentral:lncRNA from 1 species
GCUCAGAGACAAAGUCUACUUCUAGACCACAUAUGGGCUCUGAGGGUGGGCUUGGUUCUAGAACACAGACCCACCCAGAUAGGAAGCCAUGCUCUAGAGCCCAGGCAGACACUGGGACCAACCCUGAUGCUGCAGCCCAGGUCGUGGCUGACCCUCAGCCUUCCAGAAUGCAGCCAAGCCCUGUCCCAGAGCCACACUCUGGAACCAGUACAAAUGUUAAGAGGCAGCAGGGCUCAGAGCACCAUCCCAGUUGCCAGUCCCAGAAACCAGGCUCUGAGAGCCAGCCCAGGUAUAAGACAGCUGCCACCAUGGCCUGGCCCUUCCCUGAUACUUGGAGUGGUCAAGGAGGAACGGAUUGCUUAGGACCCCAAGGAAGGUCCAGCAAGCCACUGGCUGCCAGAAGCCAAGUUGGUUGGAGUAGCCAUCUGUCCCCCACACC